rnacentral:rRNA from 1 species
GACGUAGGGCGCGAGCGUUGUCCGGAUUUAUUGGGCGUAAAGAGCUCGUAGGCGGCUUGUUGCGUCGACCGUGAAAACCCGGGGCUCAACUUCGGGCUUGCGGUCGAUACGGGCGGGCUAGAGUUCGGGAGAGGGAUGCGGAAUUCCAGGUGUAGCGGUGAAAUGCGUAGAUAUCUGGAGGAACACCGGUGGCGAAGGCGGCAUCCUGGACCGACACUGACGCUGAGGAGCGAAAGCCAGGGGAGCAAACGGG